UUUGACUGUAUAUGUGAUUGUUUGAUUCUAGCUGUGAAUAGAUUCUUUGAGUUGUGAAUACUGACCGUGUAGAUUGUGAAUAUUGUUUUGGUGAUAUUGUACAAAAGGUUUGAUUCAUUUGUUGAGCAAGGCUGCUAACAUGAAUGCUGGUAGUUCCGGUGCUAACUCUGGUCCUAUUGACCCUUCCAAUCCCUUAUUUGUGCAUUCUUCUGAUGUCCCU
rnacentral:lncRNA from 1 species